rnacentral:lncRNA from 1 species
GGAAGAGUAAAAUAAUCAGCUUUUCACCCUCCGCUUCUUCUGCUUUCGCUAUCCGUGUCCACGCCCACGAGGCGCGGGCAGGCGCAGGCCGCCGGAGAAGGUCGCCAGCCCGCGGCGCAGGGUCGGCACAGGCCAGGAAGUUUCCUCUCCCUCUCCGCCUCCCUCCCUCCCGGCGCUUUCUUCCUCACUACAUAAAGGGUGGGAAGAGGAAAAGCUCCCACUCCAUCCCCUCCUCCGCCUUCACGCCCGCAGCGAGGUCCCCGCCCCCCUCC